rnacentral:rRNA from 1 species
UACGGAGGAUGCGAGCGUUAUCCGGAUUUAUUGGGUUUAAAGGGUGCGUAGGCGGACGCUCAAGUCAGCGGUAAAAUUGCGGGGCUCAACCUCGUCGAGCCGUUGAAACUGGGUGCCUUGAGUGGGCGAGAAGUACGCGGAAUGCGUGGUGUAGCGGUGAAAUGCAUAGAUAUCACGCAGAACUCCGAUUGCGAAGGCAGCGUACCGGCGCCCAACUGACGCUGAAGCACGAAGGCGUGGGUAUCGAACAGG